GGUAGAGCAGUUGACUUUUAAUCAAUUGGUCGCAGGUUCGAAUCCUGCACGACCCACCA
rnacentral:tRNA from 1 species